rnacentral:ncRNA from 1 species
AAGCAUGGUUGAAACAAGAUUUGCCAUGAGAAGUCAGCAGAUACCAUAUUAGCGACCUAAUCAACAAGGCCGUGAAGGGU